rnacentral:rRNA from 1 species
AUUGAACGCUGGCGGCAUGCCUUACACAUGCAAGUCGAACGGUAACAGGUCUUCGGAUGCUGACGAGUGGCGAACGGGUGAGUAAUACAUCGGAACGUGCCCAGACGUGGGGGAUAACGAGGCGAAAGCUUUGCUAAUACCGCAUACGAUCUAAGGAUGAAAGCAGGGGACCGCAAGGCCUUUCGCGGUUGGAGCGGCCGGUGGCAGAUUAGGGAGUUGGUGGGAUAAAAGCUUACCAAGCCGACGAUCUGUAGCUGGUCUGAGAGGACGACCAGCCACACUGGGACUGAGACACGGCCCAGACUCCUACGGGAGGCAGCAGUGGGGAAUUUUGGACAAUGGGCGAAAGCCUGAUCCAGCAAUGCCGCGUGCAGGAUGAAGGCCUUCGGGUUGUAAACUGCUUUUGUACGGAACGAAAAGGCUCUGGCUAAUACCUGGGGCACAUGACGGUACCGUAAGAAUAAGCACCGGCUAACUACGUGCCAGCAGCCGCCGCCGUAA